AUGGGGCCCCUUGGACUUGAUUUUAGCAUUCAUGGUCUUAUACGUGGUGAGAAUAUGGAGCUUGGGCGUGAUUCAGAUACAGGUGGCCAGGGUCAAAUAGUUGUAGAGCUUGCUAGGGCGUUAGGUGAACACUGAGUAUAUAGAGUGGAUCUGCUGACAAGGCAGAUUUCUGCCCUGAUGUUGAUUGGAGUUAUGGGGAACCUACAGAGAUGCUGAGUCCAAGAAAUUCAGAGAAUCUUGGGGGACAUGGGUGAAAGCAGUGGUGCUUAUAUUGUCAGGAUACCAUUUGGGCCAAGAGAAAAGUAUAUCCCUAAAGAGCAGCUCUGGCCCACAUCCAGGAAUUUGUUGACGGUGCACUUGUCCAUAUCAUGCAAAUGUCCAAGGUUCUUGGAGAACAAGUUGGGCAAUGGCCAACCAGUAUGGCCUGUUGUUAUCCAUGGACACUAUGCUGAUGCAGGCGAUUCUGCUGCUUUAUUAUCUUGGGGCACUCAAUGUGCCAAUGGCUUCACAGGUCAUUCUCUUGGCAGAGACAAGUUAGAGCAACUUCUAAAGCAAGGGCGUCAAAACCAGGGAUGAAGUAAAUGCAACAUACAAGAUAAUGCGACGGAUUGAGGCUGAGGAACUUUGUCUUGAUGCAUCUGAAAUUGUAAUACAUAGCACUAGGCAAGAGAUUAGAAUAAAACAAUGGGGAUUAUAUAAUGGAUUUGAUGUGAUUAUGGAGAGGAAACUUAGAGCAAGAAAUAAAGCGUGGUGUUAGCUGCUAUGGUCGUGAAAUGCCUCGUAUGGUUCCAAUUCCUCCUGGUAUGGAGUUCAGCCAUAUAGUGCCUCAUGAUGUUGAUCUUGAUAGUGAAGAAGCGAAUGAAGUUGGCUCAGAUUCACCAGAUCCACCUGUUUGGGCCGAUAUAAUGCGCUUCUUCCUCGAACCCUCGCAAGCCCAUGAUUCUCGCUCUUGCUCGUCCAGAUCCCAAGAAGAACAUCACUACGCUGGUUAAGGCAUUUGGUGAACACCAUGAACUGAGAAAUUUAGCAAACCUUGUAUACGUUGAUCAUGGUAACCGUGAUGUUAUUGAUGAAAUGUCAAGCACAAAUGGAGCUGUACUUUGACAUCAGUACUCAAGUUAAUUGGACAAGUAUGAUCUAUAUGGGCAAGUGGCAUACCCCAAGCACCAUAAGCAAUCUGAAGUUCCAGAUAUUUUAUCGUCUAGCGGCAAGAACAAAGGGGGUGUUUAUUAACUGUGCUUAUAUUGAACCAUUUGGGCUCACCUUGAUCGAGGCUCUGCUAUGGUCUACCUAUGUUGCUACCCAAAAUGGUGGGCCUGUCGAUAUACACCGGGUUCUUGACAAUGGCAUUCUUGUUGAUCCCCACAAUCAAAAUGAUAUAGCUGAGGCACUUUAUAGACUUUGUUUCUGAUAAGCAAUUGUGGGCAAAAUGCCGUCAGAAUGGUCUGGAUAAUAUCCAUCGAUUUUCUUGGCCUGAACAUUGCAAAAACUAUUUGUCACGGGUUGGUACGCUCAAGUCUAGACAUCCACGAUGUGCUGGCACAAAGGAUGAGUCUGGUGAGAAAGCUGGGGCCACCACAGGCUCCAAUAAAUGGCCAUCUCUGCGAAGGAGAAAACAAAUCGUUGUUAUUGCUGUAGAUUCUGUGCAAGAUGCGGACUUGUUCAGAUUAUCAAAACAUUUUUCAGGCUUCAAACAAAGAAAAAUCAUCUGGUGCUCUUGUUUUGUAUUGUCAACAAUCUCGAGCAGCAUCAGAGAUACAUCCUUGUUAACAUCUGGGGGCAUAGAAAUUACUGAUUUUGAUCCUUCAUAUGCAGCAGUGCAGUGAUCUUUGCUAUCCAUCUUCAAAUUCAGAAGACAUGCUUAGCCCUGCCGAGCUUCCAUUUAUGAUCGAUCUUGAUUAUCACUCUCAGAUUCAAUAUCGUUGGGGAAGGAGAAGGUUUAAGGAAGACACUAAUUCGUUGGGGCAGCAGAAAAGAAUAGCGAGAGUGGAAAAGAAAGCAGUUGUUGAAGAUGACAAUGUUCAUCCACUUACUGCAUUUCAUUUAAAGUGAAGAAUACUGGGCUGUCCCUUCCUGUGAAGGAUCUUCAGGAAGGACCAAGGAGAAUUCAGGCAUUGCGCUGUCAUGUAUUGUACAGCCAUGAUGGCAGCAAGUUGAACUUCAUACCUGUUCUAGCAUCACGAUCCCAAGCACUAAGGUACUUGUAUAUAAGGUGGGGCGUAGAGCUGUCGAACAUGACGGUGGUUGUUGGUGAAAGCGGCGAUACAGAUUAUGAAGGGCUACUCGGAGGCGUGCAGAAGACCAUCAUACUCAAAGGCUCAUUUAAUUCCGCGCCAAACCAGCUUCAUGCCGCCAGAAACUAUUCGCUAGAGGAUGUCGUAUCGUUUGACAAGCCAGGAAUUGCUUCCGUCGACGGUUAUGCCCCAGAUAUCCUAAAAUCAGCUCUACAACAAUUUGGUGCCCUGCAGGGCUAGAAUCACCAGCUUUGUCAGAGUCAGCAGAGGAAUAAAGUAGGUGUGUGGAGGCACACUUUUGCUGUGGGGUCGCACACGAGACACGGCGGCCUCGUCCCGUGCCUGGUAUCUGGAUAGGGCGCGACCGUGGCGGCAAUCGAGCACAAGGGUGUGGCUUGCAUGCUCGGUUUAUCCCUUCGGAUUUUGUGACCUACAUUCCAUUUUCAACGCAUGGUGAAAUUGUUCAUAGGUUCCAAAUAAAUACAGUUAGUAUCGAACUAUGGUCAUAAAGCGUGUGCUAUAGGGAAUGAAGUACCCUGUUGUUUGGAAACCAUAUAUAUACCCAACAAUGUGCAUGCAUCUCUACGAAUAAUUAGCAUCUCCAAGGAGCUAGAGCUGGAGCGAGCAAUCUUAAUUUUAGUGGAUUGUGUAAAAACAAUUUCCUCACCAGUUGUUUCUGUUUUCUUUAUUCA